UACAGAGGUGGCAAGCGUUGUUCGGAAUUACUGGGCGUAAGGGCGCGUAGGCGGCCAUCUAAGUCAGACGUGAAAUCCCCCGGCUUAACCUGGGAACUGCGUCUGAUACUGGAAGGCUUGAGUAUGGGAGAGGGAUGUAGAAUUCCAGGUGUAGCGGUGAAAUGCGUAGAUAUCUGGAGGAAUACCGGUGGCGAAGGCGGCAUCCUGGACCAUUACUGACGCUGAGGCGCGAAAGCUAGGGGAGCAAACGGG
rnacentral:rRNA from 1 species